rnacentral:pre_miRNA from 1 species
AAAAUACUCCCUCAGUUCGGAAAUACUUGUCAUAGAAAUGGAUACAAAUGGAUGUAUGUAGAACUAAAAUACAUCUAGAUACAUCCAUUCCUCGGACAAGUAUUUCCGGACAGAGAGAGUAGAUG